AUAGAAUGAUAGAAAACGCCACAAAUAAACAAAUUUUAUGUGACCAAAUAAUAUAGAAUAGCCACAUUUAUCUAAACUUUUAAUCAUUUAAUAACUGUUCCCACCUCUUACCAGUUCCUGGUUCCAAUUCGAGAAGAUCAGAUCGACUAUGCGAAUCCCUUUUAUCUAUGUGAUUAGCGUUAGUUUCUCAAACAUGUAUGUGUCAUUUUCUGUUCCCUCCGUACCAGAAAUGAGUUCAGUUUCCAAAUUGUCGAUUAUAAGAGUUUUAGAUCUGCAGAAUUGAGUUCGAGUGAAGCAGAUCUAAGGUGAAUUUCCGGUGAUCCCGCCUCGUAUUGCGACUAGAAAAGGCACCACAUUGAUGACAGUGAUGUUGACUCUUUUAGGGACUCAAGUAGUGAUGUAAGCAGUGAUUACAACCUCCCAAAGAGUGAAAUUUUUCAGCGGUUGGAUCAGUUGUCGUUAAAUUACCAACACGUCCUUCAAGAAGGCUUCUCUAGUGAUGAGGGUGAAUCAGGAAGACCACAAAGCUGUCUUUCAUUUGAGUAUUUGGAGUGUAAUCAACCUUGGGGUUGGGAACCUUUGACUGAUACUUGAUCUUGUGCGUCGCUUCACAGAGUUGAAAAGCAUGAAAAGUUGUGCCUUGUUUUCUUCUAGUUGGUUAUCUGUGGCUUGGUACCCAAGUUAUAGGACUCUAAUGGGACCAACAUUGAAAGAUCUUAAUGUUGUUUUUUACCUUUCAUUCUCUUCAUACACCAAUCACAGGCUAUGGAUGUUUUCACAACCUCUUCAGCUAAGAGCAUUCGGUUGAAGGUGGCUGGGUUUGGCGAGGUGAAACGGACCUGCAUAAGUAUCACUGGAACAACUGGGUCACUCGUAAAGUGAACUACUUAACCUGAAGGGUUGUGUUGGGGUGUAUCGCUACUAAAGAAGCUUUGACAUGAAGAGGUUUGGCUUUAGAUAACACUCUUUGCGGCAGGUGCGAGCUGGUAAUUGAAGAUGUGAAUCACAUUUUUGUCGAAUGUUUAUCGGCUAGAAGUGUGUGGUGGCAAAUCUGUUGAUGGAUUGAGGAAUUGCUUAACUUUUUACUUGCUUUGUAAAAGUUGCAGCAUAAGUUUUUUCACUAGUAUAAGAAUGUUUUCACUAAUAAAAGAUAAAUUAUCAGCAUUCAUUUGUUAAGAUAUAUUUAUACAUAUAAUAGUUUAAAUGAGAAGUAAAUAUAUCAAUGUUAAA